rnacentral:rRNA from 1 species
UAAGGAAUAUUCCGCAAUGGGCGCAAGCCUGACGGAGCGACGCCGCGUGAAGGAGGAAGCCCUUCGGGGUGUAAACUUCUUUUGUCGGGGAUGACACGCUUCUCAUGGUCAUUUGGGCCUUCGGGUCCAGGGGAACCCAGAGGAGAUAGGACAGUACCCGACGAAUAAGCCUCGGCUAACUACGUGCCAGCAGCCGCGGUAAUACGUAGGAGGCGAGUGUUGUCCGGAUUUACUGGGCGUAAAGCGCGCGCAGGCGGCACACUAAGUACGAUGUGAAAUCUCCCUGCUUAACGGGGAGGGUGCAUAGUAAACUGGUGAGCUCGAGGACGGUAGAGGGGGGUGGAAUUGCUGGUGUAGCGGUGAAAUGCGUAGAGAUCAGCAGGAACACCCGUGGCGAAGGCGGCCCCCUGGGCCGAACCUGACGCUGAGGCGCGAAGGCUAGGGGAGCGAACGGGAUUAGAUACCCCCGUAGUCC